AUUGAACGCUGGCGGCAUGCCUUACACAUGCAAGUCGAACGGCAGCAUGGAGAGCUUGCUCUAUGAUGGCGAGUGGCGAACGGGUGAGUAAUGCAUCGGAACGUACUGUGUAAUGGGGGAUCACGUCGCGACAGUUACGCUCAUACCGCAUACGACCUGAGGGUGAAAGCAGGGGAACGCAAGACCUUGCGUUAUACGAGCGGUCGAUGGCAGAUUAGCGAGUUGGUGAGGUAAAGGCUCACCAAGGCGACGAUCUGUAGCGGGUCUGAGAGGAUGAUCCGCCACACUGGGACUGAGACACGGCCCAGAGUCCUACGGGAGGCAGCAGUGGGGAAUUUUGGACAAUGGGUGCAACCCUGAUCCAGCCAUGCCGCGUGAGUGAAGAAGGCCUUCGGGUUGUAAAGCUCUUUCGGCCGGGAAGAAAUCGCACAGGCUAAUACUCUGGGUGGAUGACGGUACCGGCAUAAGAAGCACCGGCUAACUACGUGCCAGCCGCCGCGGUAA
rnacentral:rRNA from 1 species